GUCCACGCCGUAAACGAUGGAUGCUAGCCGUUGGUAAGCAUGCUUAUCAGUGGCGCAGCUAACGCAUUAAGCAUCCCGCCUGGGGAGUACGGCCGCAAGGUUGAAACUCAAAGGAAUUGACGGGGGCCCGCACAAGCGGUGGAGCAUGUGGUUUAAUUCGACGCAACGCGCAGAACCUUACCAGGCCUUGACAUCCCGUGCUAAGCCCAGAGAUGGGUGGUCCCCGCAAGGGGCGCGGAGACAGGUGCUGCAUGGCUGUCGU
rnacentral:rRNA from 1 species